rnacentral:lncRNA from 1 species
CCUCUGUCUCACGGGCUGGGGUGGCAUCCGAACAAUUUCCAAAGGGCGAGUGGAGUUGAUUUUUCACCCUGUACUUUAUUGGGAAGUUUUGGUUGACUUGGGGAGCUGGUGUGAACAGGAACCAGAGGCACUCCGGAGGUUGCCUGGAUUGGGGAGGGGUGGGUGAGUGCACUUGCGCGCGCGUGCGUUUGUGUGUGUGUGUGUGUGUGUGUGCGGUGUAGGGAGGCGGGGGGCGGGGGGUGAGGGCCUGGGCGGGGGCGGGGGCGCGGCUCCGUGUUAAGCAGCACCGUGGCGGUUCCACGCUGAGUGCAGCGUGCUCGGCUCUCUCGUUGCAGGGUGUCAGGCAGAGUGGAAGGAGAGGAGGAGAAGGGAAGUCGGGGACGUCGGUCAUGUCUAGGCGCUGGUGUUCUGGGGUGUCAGGCAGAGUGGAAGGAGAGGAGGAGAAGGGAAGUCGGGGACGUCGGUCAUGUCUAGGCGCUGGUGUUCUGGGUGAGUGAGUGCCCUUUGUUCUCUUCCUUCUCCUCUUCCAAAAGGGUUCAUUUCAUCACAGGAAAAGGUCAGUGGUUCUGGUGGUUCAGCAAGCCUCAAGAAGGGGAGACUCCCAAGGUAGGUCCGUGGCACGGGGCCACCGGCGUACCGUGCCGGAGUUUUCCGGCUUGAUAGCAGAGGCUCUCGGGCCAGGUCCCGCU